CCUACGGGAGGCAGCAGUGAGGAAUAUUGGUCAAUGGUCGGGAGACUGAACCAGCCAAGCCGCGUGAGGGAUGAAGGUACAGAGUAUCGUAAACCUCUUUUGUCAGGGAACAAAGGCGGGGACGUGUCCCCGGAUGAGUGUACCUGAAGAAAAAGCAUCGGCUAACCCCGUGCCAGCAGCCGCGGUAAUACGGAGGAGGCGAGCGUUAUCGGUAUUUAUGGGGUUUAAAGGGUGCGCAGGCGGUCGGUUAAGUGAGGGGUAAAAGCCCGGGGCGAAACCCCGGCCCGCCGUUGAAACUGGCAGUCUCGAGUGGGAGAGAAGUAUGCGGAAUGCGCGGUGUAGCGGUGAAAUGCAUAGAUAUCGCGCAGAACUCCGAUUGCGAAGGCAGCAUGCCGGCUCCACACUGACGCUGAGGCACGAAAGCGUGGGUAUCGAACAGGAUUAGAUACCCUUGUAGUC
rnacentral:rRNA from 1 species